ensembl:miRNA
UCUAGGGCAGAGGUGUCGAACAUAAGGUCCGGGGGUUCGACAUCUCUGGUUUAGACU